GGGGGCGACCUGGUUUCGACGGGGGUUACAAAGCAAGACAGGGCAUGUCGAGGCUCAGCUACCUCGUAAAUCCAACUGAAAACAACACAAUCGCCAACGACGAGCGCUACGCUCUAGCUGCUUAAUUGCAGCUGGCUCCCGAACUGACUUGCUCUUGGGUCAGGUAGCGAAAGCUACAUCGGGAUCAUGAACAUGAGAUAAGGUUUGGCCAUGUCACAAGGUCCGACUCGAAAAUUUAGUGAAUCGUCUGAAGUGAGCCUGUCCGGCCGGCGCACCAAGACUAAAUUCAAUUGACCGAACUACACAUGUAGAACUGCUUGUCGCGGACUUUCGGACGCGGGUUCGAUUCCCGCCGCCUCCACCA
rnacentral:tmRNA from 2 species